GCUUAUGACCAUAUCACGUUGAAAGCACAGGUUCUUGUACGAUCACCGAAGUUAAGCAACAUCGGGCCAAGUGAAUACUUAGAUGGGUGACCGCUUGGGAAACCUAGGUGCUGUAAGCA
rnacentral:rRNA from 1 species